AAAAGUAUUUAUUGUACAAAACAGAAAUAAUAACAAAAGAAGAAAUGCAAAUCUGGAAUUAUUUUAAAUAUCGCAUAUCCAAAACGUAAACAAGACAAGCAAACACUGGGGUUAACAGUCUUAUUUCAGUUAGAAACUACGUUGAUAUGUAUAAGCAUAUCGAUGUUGAACCCAAAACCUUUUCCAGUUAACUUUCAGCUCAUGAAGAAAGAACAAUGAAUACAAACCAGGCAAACAAAUGAAAACAAACAUUUAGCAGAAUAUGUGCAUUUUAAAAACAUUUCAUUGUAUUGAUAAAAAAAUAUUAAUUUGCUGACAUUCUCAAAAGUCACUCAAUGUAAAUUACAGCUUGUCGCCAUUGAAGGCACCUCAUUGCAGUCAAAUGGUUAAAAACAAUUCAUGUUUUGAGGUCAGUCAAGAGUUUCAUACAUUGAAUGGCUGCCGAGGUUAGGUUAAUGCUUGAACACUUCAUUCAGCAUUAAACUGCAUACAAAAAUAGAGAUGAGAUGAUAUCAGAGAAUAAAAGUUCAUCAGCUGGCUGAAAUUGGUUUAACUGAAGCUUUUAGACUGCCUUGUGUGGGUCACUACGCUCAUCUCCAACUUAAAAAAUGAAAUUGUAAACUGUUUCACUUUACAAUAACAUCUCCUGCGGCUCGCAGUGUGCAGAAAGAUAGAUACUGGCAGAAGCAUCCCAAAAACAUUUUACAAACAAAAACCCAAAAGUGUAUUCAACCCACCAUCUCUAUUACAUUCACAUUUUUAGUCAUUUAGCAGACGCUCUUAUCCAGAGCGACUUACAGUUAGUGAGUGCAUACAUUAUUUAUGUUAU